rnacentral:lncRNA from 1 species
AUCGGCGGGUUUUUCGCCAUUUUCGUCCAAAUUUCCGACGAAUUGAGUCAAGGUACCACUCCUAAUCAUCAUCUAGGCCUUCCCUCUUCACGUUUCACCCCAAGAAUCAUUGAAUUUCGUUGUGAUUUCGCGAAAAAACACCCCUACGGGUGCCGCGACCCUUUUGUUUAAAUUCUCCAAAUUUUUGAAAUGUUUUCUUUCAAUUACUAACACCUUUAGCAUUCCUUUAGGACCUAGAACAAAGCCCAAGAGGUAAUUGAGGCGUUGGAACAAGUUUGAAGGUCGAAUUGGAAACACCCAAAUUCUAGGGUUCUUCACGGUUUUGGUGAAAUUGAAGCACUUCCAGGCCAAAUUGGCAUUGGUCUCAGGUAUGAAAGUUGUUCUACUCAUUGAGAUCUUCAAAUCUGCAAAUUUUGGUAAUUUUUGGAAAUAGUUGAAUUUUCCGGCGAGCCGGGGGCGGCCAACCGCCACCCGCGGCGGCGCGUGGCCAAUGGCCCGCCAAUGUCAUUAUUAGCUUGUGAUUAAGGUUCUAGUUUCUGUUUUGAUAAUUGAUGGACGUAAAUUGAAUAAUUGAACCUAAGUUGGUUACGAUUCGUGGUUAGGUGAAAAUGUGAAUUGACAAUCCGACCGUUGGAUCGUCAUCAAACUUUGAUACGUUGUAAUACGUAAUAUUUGAGGAUUAUAGGAACUUACGGAUUGGGAAUCCGAUAUACGGAUCUUCCGGAAUUGAAGUUGUAAGUUCAUAAAAUAGAAUGUUAACCGUCACUUAGUUUUGGAAAUUGACGGAGAUCCGACCGUUGGAUGGUAAUGAAAUUUUAGGAUGUUGUCCUAGAGGUAUAUUGUGGACCUCUGGAAGUUACGGAUUUGAAAUCUGAAUUGCAGAUCAUCCGGAUCGAACUACGUAGUGACGUGUCUUAUAUAAGUUAUGUAUUCUAUCGGCAGAAUUUCUGAGGUUGGAUUUGAUUGUUGUUCUAGGCGCUAAUCGUCAUGACGCCUUGAUGUACGGUGCUAGGGAGUUGUGGGCGAACUCCAGGUGAGUGGGCAGUUUUGUUUUUGUAUUACCUUUAUACUAUUGAUUUUUCCCAGAAAAUGAAUUUAUAUGAAGAUAUGCUUUAAAAAUGCCAUGCAUAGAAUUAUUUGAAAAUGUGAAUUGUUAUAUGAAUUACAUGAUUGAUAUAUGAUGCAUACAUGUUGCAUGGUGCUGUGGAGGCACAGGUACGUCAGGUGAGUUCAUUAUUCAUUUAAUUGAUUGAUGUUUCGAUGUUUGAGCUCAUAAUCUGCACCCUAGGUGUUAGUGCUUAUAUUAUUCACCACACCGCACGCUCGCCUUGGAUCCAAGUAGGUGGAUGUCGUACAGACCAUGUGAGGGUUCCGACAUGCUAGUCGUACAGAUCACUAGGCGUGAUUCCGACUAGUGGGUGACCUUAGUUAUGCGCGCUGAUGAUUGAUGAGAGAAGCACUAGAGCGUAUUUUUACACCUUUCAUCGUAUAGACUACCUUACGUAGUUCCGAGUGAUGUGCAGAGUAGGGCCGUAUAGGUCACUGUGGUGACUCCGGCUUAGUGAGAUAUUGAGCUAUUGAAUUAAUCGUAUAGGACCAACUGCAGGGUCUCCGAUUGAUUCCUUAUUUCACCUGAUUUAUAUUUUGAUUUAUGGCAUGGCAUGUUUUUCUUGAAAAAUGUUAAAGAUUUGGGAUUCAAGCUUUGAGAUUUCAUAUGGUUAUAUAUAUAUAUAUAUAUAUUUCUGAAAAGUGUUAAAGGUUUGAGAUUUGAGAUUUUUGCUUAUAUAUAUGUUUAUAUAUAUGCUAUUUUCUGGGAAAGUAUACAGGUUUUACGGUGAGGGGUUAGAAAUGUUUUAAAUGAAAAGUUUUCGAAAAACUUUGUUUUACUGACCCACUCAAUUUUGUUUUGCGCCCCUCCAGGUUCAAGUUAGCAGAGCUUUGGUGGCCACGAGGAAUCCAACGGUGUUCUGACAGAAUUCACAAAAGUAGGACUCACCCUCGGGUGUGUUAUCUUAGUAAUUGGAAAUUUUUUUAAAGCUUCCGAACUGUGUAAAUGGUUACGUCACUCUCACGUGACGGCCAGCACGCCCUCCUUCGGGACGGGGUGUGUCAUU